rnacentral:lncRNA from 1 species
UCAAAGACAUUCCCCAAACCCUAGCCCACCGCCCUCUUUUCCCACUGCCCUAGGGUGGUGGCGCCACCUCCAAACGUCACAAAAUUAACACCCAAGACCCCUCUCCUCAUUUCGAAUCCCAACUCCCCUUCCCUCGAAUCACUCCAGAUCCCUCAAAUUUUAGAUCGAAUUGUCCAAUUCGAGUUUUCUUUGAAGUUUCAGGUUCACUCUGAUGUUAGUUGUGAUAAAAAUAACAAAAGUUUAGUUUCAGAUUGAGCCGGAAAUAGGAGGAUUUGAAGAUUCAUCAAGAGCUUUUCACGGUCCAUGACGAUUUUAGGUAUUUUCCUUUACCUUAGGUUGUUAAUUUUUAUUUUUCCGUUCUCUUCUUCUUCUGUAUUUUCCUUUUUCUGAUUUUUUAUUUUGUUUUCUAUUUUCAUCUCUUCAAAAUGUCCAUGUCUGAAUGAUUAGGUUCGGAAUUGUGUAGUUAAUAAUUUUUUCUAAUUUUCGUUUGUACACAUUUUGAUUUGUGUUCCUAUUUGGACCUAAAUUCCACGAGUCACUAAAACUCUGUGAAUUAUAAUUUAAGAGUUUUGAACUUUAAAUGUCAAGUUUGGGUUCUGAAAGUCAGAUGGCCCAAAAGGAAUUGAAUUGGAUCUAGUUCAGACCCAUUAACUUGGGUAAAUUGGACUAGGGUUCUGUUUGGCUGGGGGGAGGGGGUAAAUAACCAGGGAUCGAGGGGUAGUUUAGGUAGGGGAAUCUUUGUAUAACAGAUUGAGAAGCUUCUAGGAAGCUGGGAGUAGAGGCUAACGUGAAUUUAUGCAUUUUAAGCUAAGGUUCAUUAAGAAAAAAUAAAAAUUGAGCAGGGAUUGAAAAGAAAUUUCUGAAACCUUUUUAUGCCCUACUAAUCCAUCUAUGAAGUCUCACUUUCUAAAAGACCUGAAAGGGUGAGAAAAAAAUAAAAAAGGGCUGAAACUAAGGAAAAUACUGUUCCAUUGCUUUUUUUGCUUCGAAUUCAGAAGUAUUUCCAGUACUAAAACAAGUUCUGAUUUUCUUUGAUGUUGAAAAUGGAUUGAACUCGGGUAUUAAAAAGCUUGUUUAAGUUUAUUGGUGGGAUUACUGUUCUGUCGAUUUUUUGAGGGGAUUUUACUAUUUCAUUGGUUGAAUCAAGUUGGUGUUUGUUUGGUCUCCUCCUUCCGGGGUUCUGAUUAUUGGGUUGUUGUUGCUUAUUGCUUCCUCACUUCUUUCUUCCCUUUUCAAUUUUCAGGUACUCCCUGACCCUAUGAACAGAUGAGAUGCUAGUGUGUAAGUUGUAAUUGCUUGAAGAUUUUGUAAAUGAGUUAUUUUCUC